rnacentral:rRNA from 1 species
GACGAGCUCUCCAAACGUUAUUCGGUAUCACUGGGCUUAAAGAGUUCGUAGGCGGUCUGGUAGGUGAGGUGUGAAAUCCCCCGGCUCAACCGGGGAACUGCGCUUCAAACCGCCGGACUUGAGGGAGACAGAGGUGGGCGGAACAGAUGGUGGAGCGGUGAAAUGCGUUGAUAUCAUCAGGAACACCGGAGGCGAAGGCGGCUUACUGGGGCCUUUCUGACGCUGAGGAACGAAAGCUAGGGGAGCGAACGGG